CCUGUGCGACCACUGAAAUUAAGCAAUGUCGAGCCUGGUCAGUACUUAGAUGGGUAACCGCUUGGGAAUACCAGGUACUGUAA